AUAUGCACUUCUUGGGCAAUUCCAUUCCUUUUCAGUCCCUCAAACUUGACUUGCCAGAGUUGCAAGGAGAACCUGAAGAUAUCUCCAAAGAGAAGGCUCGAAUUGCUGCUCUUCAGGUGAAUGGACCUGUGUUGGUUGAAGACACUUGCCUCUGUUUCAAUGCCUUGAAGGGCUUCCAGUGGAUAUAAUUGUUAUUUUUUUUUUUUCAUGCUAUGAAAGUUGGCAUUAUACAACCUGACUGGUUUUGAUUGAAUGUUUGAAACUU